ensembl:snoRNA
AGGGUGCUUCAAGAUGGCUCCUGUUCAUAACAGACCCAUUAGGAACUUGGGGUCACUGUGAGGACAGGCACAAAAGGUGUGAUCUAAGAAUAAGUACCCUACAUGU